rnacentral:rRNA from 1 species
GCCUCUGCUAAUGUGUACCUAGUUUAUACUAAGUGACCCAUAGGUUGAGGAGGUGGUGACCGUGGCGGUGAAGGAGGAGGAUGAGGUACCCAACACUGUUUUUUUUAUAUAUAUUUAUAUUAAUUGGGGUAGCACCCAAAAUAUUGGGAUAUAUAAAAAAAGACAACUCUGUUCCGUGGAACUUUGCAUGCGGAUGUCAUCCAUAUCAACUUUCGAUGCCAGUUUCUGCGCCUACCAUGGUGACCACGAGUAACGGGGAAUCAGGGUUCCACUCCGUACAGGGACCCUGAGAAAUGGCUACCACAUGCAAGGAAG